rnacentral:misc_RNA from 1 species
GAACGCACAUUGCGCCUCCUGGUAUUCCGGGAGGCAUGCCUGUUCGAGCGUCAUUAAAAUCACUCAAGCUUAGGUUUACCUAUUGCUUGGUCUUGGAGAUGGAAGCCAAUUCAUUGGAAUCCUCUUCGAAAUCCAAUGGCGAAGACCCUUGCUCUCCCAAGUGUAGUAAUAACUUAUGUCACUGAAGGAAGCGAGAAAUCUUCUGUCGUAACCCCCAUAUUUUCUAUGAUUGACCUCGGAUCAGGUAGGGAUACCCGCUGAACUUAAG